rnacentral:misc_RNA from 1 species
CUUGUUACUUCUGUAAGAUUUUAAAAUCUAAAUAGUAAUUUUACCUAAGGCUAAUAAUAUAAUUUACCAUUCAAAAUUUUGGCUCAUGCGCUUUUGGUACAUAUACAAUUUGGGGCAGAUUGACCCAUUUUGCUAAUUUAGGGUAACAUUUUGGGUUUGAUUGCACUUUGCUACCAAGAUAAGGGGAGCAAAGUGACCUUUUAUCCAAAAAAUUGUUGGUCCAGGUUAGAAUGGUCCGUAAACAUUAUCAAGCAUGGUCCGUAAACAUUAUCAAGCAACGUAAUUUAAUGAGUGGCUUGGGCUUCCAACAUUUUGAUCCUGUGCAAGGAAACCCCCGGACAAUCAACCAUCUGGCAACACUUGUUUGUAUGUAAAAUUUCUUCAAAUGUUUAUGAAUCUGAUUGUCCAGCUUUGAAUACGUCAAAAAGUUCUUGAUAAUCACUAUGUUCCUUUAGCUUAGGUGUUUUGAUAAAUUGAACAAAAGGUCAAUUAAAUACAAAGGUUGGAUCAGUUAGACUUUGAAAUUGGCAAAUUGAGCCAUUUUGCCCCAGUUUUUCAGCAUGUGCGAUACACACACCAUAGGAAGGACUAACAUGACAUUUUGACAUUUUUACAAUUUGAACAUUUUAAAAUUUGCUCUAGUCUUUCCUCCUUACUGCCUCCAUCUAUUUGCUUUCCCUUCCAAAAAAACCACAACGGUAGAAAAUAAAAUUUAAUUGAAAAUUAAAAUAUUUUUGUCUCUCACAAACUCACCUCAAAAUUAAAAAUCAUAAUCAACAAAUCUAACAGGUAUUCACCAAUCCCAACAACAAAAAUAUUUUAUUUAAAAAAAUGUUUAAAAAUAUAAGCAUUUACUUAUUAAAUACUAAUUUAUCUAAGGGUUAUAAUUUUGGCCCUCACAGGCUCACUAUACAUUUUGGAGUAAAUUGGCUCAAUUUGUCAAUUUUAUGGUCUACUUGAUCUAACUUUUACACUUUGUGUUUAAUUGAACCUUACUGGCAAUAUGAGGUGACAAACUAAACCUUAUUCCUUUAUCAAUUAAUGCAGAACUACUAUCCUCAGAACUAAAGCAAUGCUUGUUAUGAAUGCUUGUACAAAGUGAUUGCUUGUGAAAUAUUAUAUUUGGUGCUUCUCUCUCCGCACGCACAAUGUACCCUUAAGGUCCUCAUAAUUAAUCGCCUAUCACUUUGAUGUAAUUUUUGAACAUAUAACCUUUAUUUAUUAUUAUUAUUAUUUCAAAGUAUAACCUUUGGCUUUCCACACACACUACCGUUUAUGUUUUCUGAAAAAUAAUACAAUUUUUCUAGGUAGUCUUUACAUAUUAACAUUUGGUUAUAUGAUGAUGUCUAGGCACCAUACCAGAGAAAGUUAA